rnacentral:ribozyme from 1 species
AGAGAGAGAGAGAGAGAGAAGAAAAAACUCUCGAAAAGCUCACUCUAAAUCAGUUUCUGUAAUCUCCAUCUCUGUGAUCUCCUUUGCUUGUAUAUCUCUCCUUCACCUUAUUCAUUCUCUGAAUAGCCUAUUCAGAAAAAUGUG